UAGUGAGAAUCUUUCUAUGCUGUCUUCCAUCCUCCGUCCCAUGAUCUGAUCCAAUCAAACCAUCUUCGUCUUCGUUCGUCUCUAAAUCCUUUACUUAACAAUGAUAUCUCUUAAACCCCUUCCUACCAACCUGAAUUCCUCAUUCUUCCGCUCCUUAACCCCAUUUAAACUCUUCACUCCCAAAACCCAAACCCUAAAAUCCUCAAAAUCCCAUUCCCAUUCCGCUAUUAAAUCCGUCCUCCAAUGGAAUAGGAAGCCCGAAUUGGCUGGAGAGACCCCACGCGUUCUAGUAAUCACCUCCGGCAAAGGUGGCGUCGGCAAGACAACCACCACCGCGAAUGUCGGCCUCUCAUUGGCUCGUCUCGGCUUCUCCGUCGUAGCGAUCGACGCCGAUGUUGGCCUACGAAAUCUUGACCUUCUCCUGGGCCUUGAAAAUCGCGUGAAUUAUACCCUCGUUGAGGUUAUGAACGGCGAUUGCCGCCUGGACCAAGCCCUAGUGCGUGACAAACGGUGGUCCAAUUUCGAGCUUCUGUGCAU
rnacentral:misc_RNA from 1 species